UGGCUCAGUUGGUUGAAUGUUGCCCCAUGAACCAAAAGAUCACAGGUCCAAUUACUGGUCGGGGCACAUACCAGGUUGUGGGCUUGAUCCCC